GCUGGCGGCACGCCUAACACAUGCAAGUCGAACGCAGUAGCAAUACUGAGUGGCAAACGGGUGAGUAUAAUGUGGGAAUCUGCCUUUUGGUUUGGAAUAACACGAGGAAACUUGUGCUAAUACCGAAUAAGCCUUUACAGGGAAAGUUUUAACGCCGAAAGAUGAGCCCGCGCUUGAUUAGCUAGUUGGUAAGGUAAAAGCUUACCAAGGCGAUGAUCAAUAGCUGUUCUUAGAGGAAGACCAGCCACAUUGGGACUGAGACACGGCCCAGACUCCUACGGGAGGCAGCAGUGGGGAAUCUUGCACAAUGGGGGAAACCCUGAUGCAGCGAUGCCGCGUGAGUGAAGAAGGCCUUUGGGUUGUAAAACUCUUUCGUCGGGGAAGAAAAUGACUGUACCCGAAUAAGAAGGUCCGGCUAACUUCGUGCCAGCAGCCGCGGUAAUACGAAGGGACCUAGCGUAGUUCGGAAUUACUGGGCUUAAAGAGCUCGUAGGUGGUUAAAAAAGUUGAUGGUGAAAUCCCAAGGCUUAACCUUGGAACUGCCAUCAAAACUUUUUAGCUAGA
rnacentral:rRNA from 1 species